UACGUAGGGGGCAAGCGUUGUCCGGAUUUAUUGGGCGUAAAGAGCGUGUAGGCGGCCAGGUAGGUCGCUGUGAAAACUCGAGGCUCAACCUCGAGAUGUCGGCGGAAACCAUCUGGCUAGAGUCCGGAAGAGGAGAGUGGAAUUCCUGGUGUAGCGGUGAAAUGCGCAGAUAUCAGGAAGAACACCCGUGGCGAAGGCGGCUCUCUGGGACGGUACUGGACGCUGAGA
rnacentral:rRNA from 1 species